CACAAUGUCACUGGUGCUUAGCACCAAUCCGCUCUCAGGCCUGCCUCUGUGUUCUACGGCAGUUACACGUGCACAGUGGUAUCAGCUACACACGCACAGUGGUAUCUGGGAACAGUUUUGUGGUCUCAAAGGUUUUCUACCUGAGAGGCAUAACGCAGGCCAACUGAUUCAUCAGAAUCAGGAUGGUAAUCAUAGAGGAUGCAGAUAGUUUGCGGGCACAGGAGCGAGAGAAUAUCAUCAUGAACUAUGAGAAGGUACAGGUCGGUCUGCUCCUUGGAGGGAGGCCUCUUCCAGUGUGCCCUGGUCAAAGGGUCCUGGGCUCCCUAGGAGCACAGAGUGGGCACAGGUGGCUACUACCCCCAGGCCCUUGCACCCUUUGCCUUGGACCCCUCACCAAGCCUCCCUCUGGGUUGCAGGGACACCAAGCUGGGCUGCCAGACGACAUGGGGCCUGAGCCUGUUGGAAUCUACAACAACAUUGAUCGCUUUGGGAUUGUGCAUGAGACAGAGCUGCCUCCUGCCACUGCUCGGGAGGCGAAGGUAAGAGCCUGAUGCAUGGGGAGGGGGCUGGACCAGGGAUGUGGGGCUAGGCGGGUGGUCGGUGAGGCAGAGGAGGCAGCUGGCCUGGGCGGUGACGGGUGAGGACAACACGAUGUCCCUAGGAGGAGCAGCACUCCCUGCUGGAUCUGACCCCAGGUUGCUGUAACUUUGGCAGCUUGAUAAGAUUCCAAAGUGAGAACCACAGUUGUGGCUUGGGGGUGGCUGCCCGCCUGUGUCAGGACCCCACCUAGAGGCUGGGACCUGACCUAAGACUGUUGUGUCUGUGGCUUGAGGAUGGCACGUCCCGGGGUCCCAAAGCCAGCCCACUGGUGCUCAUUUGCUCAAAGGCUCUCAGCCCUUAGGGUCUGCCCUUCCUUGGUUCCCUUCAGCUGGGUCCACCAGGGCUCCAGAGCCCAAGACCCAGCAUCCACGGGCGGCUCUGGGAAGCCUGGCAGCUCCCCUAACGCCAACAUUCCUCAUUUGACAGCAAAUGCGGCGGGAGAUAACACGAAAGAGCAAGUGGAUGGAAAUGCUGCGACAAUGGGAGACAUAUAAGAACAGUAAAAAGGUAAUGUGUGGAGCGAGAGGCCCCCGGAACCACUUUCUGCAGAGACAGGGGACAGGCACCCAUGGCUGUGGCCUGGCACCGUCAGCCUCUCAGAGGGCGGGUGGCACACUGUCCUCACCCAGAGGACUGCGGGCCUGGUCGGUGGUUUGCCUGCCUAUUUAUGCAAGCGUCACCUUGCUGGGAGGGAAUCUGAAUCUAGGGCUGGAAACACCCAGAGCUCAAGGCUAGGGAUGCCCUGGUGACCCAAAGGAAGGAGAAUGUUCAGAUCAGAGUCCCGACUCUGAGUGUCCAUCCACUUUUUCAAUCCUGAAAAGGGAGACCAUGUCCCAGCUUAAUGUCACCUCUAACGAGGAGUCAUGGGGCCAAAACCAACCAUUUCCAGAAUCCUCGGGCUCUGGUCCUCACUGGGGUCGCCCCGUGGCCUGUGACACCAGGUUGUUUUGUGCCCACAGCUGAUAGAUCGAGUAUAUAAGGGCAUUCCCAUGAACUUCAGGGGCCAAGUGUGGUCAGUCCUGCUGAACAUACAGGAAAUCAAGUGGAAAAACCCCAGAACAUACAAGGUACGCUCAGCCAGAGCACAACAAACAGGACAGGCCGUGUCAUGGGCCCAGGUCUCCAGCUGGAGGGAGCAUCAAGCCCAGGCUGGCGGGUGGGUGGGAUGGUCAGAUGCACAUCCUGGGCACGGACGGUGACAUAGUCACCACAGACAAACUUGGCUCCGGUGACCCUCCCCGGCUUCAGUAACAAGCCAAAAAGCAGCUUUGUGCAGAAGGAAACCUUCCUGCUUUCCUGCCUUCCCGGAGUGCUGACUGUGGGCCGACUGCCAUUUGGGGCAGGGAGUCUUCCAUCUGUUCUGAGGCUGCUUCCUCCUGUUGCCCCUGCCCUACAGGUCAUGAAGGAGAAGGGCAAGAGGUCAUCUGAACACAUCCACCAGAUCGACCUGGACGUGAGCGAGACACUAAGGACUCACAUCUUCUUCAGGGAUCGAUACGGAGCCAAGUAAGCCUAUGGGAACCACAGGGUCUCAGCAGAGAUGGAGUGAAGGAAAGGGAUGGGUGCUUCCCCGGAGAAAAGGCCAGGGUCACCUAGGAGGGAUGACAGAGCUGCCAAGACCUCCCCUGACCCAGGGAGCCGCUGGCACCAUGAACUGAGCACCCAGUGCCAAGCCCUGGGCCAGACUGGAGCCUGUGGGGCCAGAAACGAGGAGGACCCUGAGGAGACAGAAGUCAGCAAACAAAAUCAUGCACAAUGGUGAAAGGUGCUCUCCCUGAACCACGGGGACCCAUGGUAGGACCCAUGGGAGGGUGGCAGGAUUGAAGGCCCAUAAGCCUCUCCAGGCAACACUGACAGCACCAAAUGCUGGGGCAAUUAGGGGUCCUGGAAACUGUCAUCCUGGUCUGCUGGGAACAUGACAUGGCACAGCCACUUUGGCAGCCAGUUGGGCAGUGACUCACAAAGCUCAAUGGACUUGAACCACGUGUCCCCAAAGUAUCACAAAUAUUGAACCCAAUGAUUUGAAAACUGAUGUCCACAUGAAACCUGCAUGCCACGUCCACUGCUUGAUUCCUCGUCACUCACACAAGGAGCCUUCGGGGACAGUCUUCAACAUGGGAACGGGGAGAGCAAGGCUGGUCCUCCCUUCAAACGGAAGACCCAGUGAGAAAAGAGAACGAGCCAGUGAUGCCCGCACGAACGUGGGUGGAUCCUAGAUGCAUUUUGCUGAGAGAAAGAGGCCAGACCCAAUAAGCUACCACGUAGGAUUCCCAUUCCUGGGCCAUUCUGGAAAAGGCCAAACCAUAGGGACUGACAAGCAGUCUGGGUGGCCGGGGGCUGAGGGAUCAGGGAGAGGCCGGGUGCAUAGGGGCCACCCUGGAGACUUGGAAGAUGAAGGAGUUGCUUCAGGAGGGGCUGGAGCAGUAGCCAGGAUACUGCCCAUUGGUUUAGAACCACGGAGGAACUGUACAUCCAAAGACUGAGCUGGCGUGUGUGCAAAUUGAAAAAAAAAAAUUAUUCAGAGUGAAAAGGAUCAGGCAAGUCACUGUACAACUGGGCUAUCUGCAUGUCACAGAUGUGGAUUUUCCUGAAACAUUCCUCAAAGUCAAAGACCCUGAAGAGCUCACUGCUUAUCUGGUGAAUCAUCUGAACCUGAAUGGGAUUUGUUGUUAGGCUUUGUAGACAAACUGAAACUAACGGCAUCUGCACAAAACAAACAAAAGCCUCCUUUCUCUGUUUCCUAGGCAGCGGGAACUAUUCUACAUCCUCCUGGCAUAUUCGGAGUAUAACCCGGUGAGUAUUCCCAGCAGUGACGUUCCCGGCAGUAUUUCCCUGUUCACAGGAGUGGGUGUCUGGUGGGGUGCCAUCACUUCUUUAAAGUAGUAUUGUGGCCGGCGCGGUGGCUCAAGCCUGUAAUCCAGCACUUUGGAGGCCGAGACGGGCGGAUCACGAGGUCAGGAGAUCGAGACCAUCCUGGCGAACACGGUGAAACCCCGUCUCUACUAAAAAAAUACAAAAAACUAGCCGGGCGAGGUGGCGGGCGCCUGUAGUCCCAGCUACACAGGAGGCUGAGGCAGGAGAAUGGCGUAAACCCGGGAGGCGGAGCUUGCAGUGAGCUGAGAUCCGGCCACUGCGCUCCAGCCCCGGCGACAGAGCGAGACUCCGUCUCAAAAAAAAAUAAAUAAAUAAAUAAAGUUAGUAUUUGUGAGCCACCAGGAUAUAGGAGAUAGAACUCCAGAUCACUGCUGGCAUAAACCUCCAAGCAAGGGGGUGGUCUCAAGGGGUCAAGCUGAGACACAAAGGAGUCGGGGCCUGGACUCCUGGUGUCACCUGGGCCUGACCACCACUUCUCAGAACCAGAAAUGACGCCCUCCUCCUGGGGCUUCACCCAAGCCCAGGAGCUUGGCAGGGUCACACGCAGGACAGUGCCAUCAGGAGACAUUUUGGACAAAGUGCUGAAGUGCCUGAUGGACUUGGCUCUUGUCAUGAAAUGAAUUUGCACCCUGAGGAAGCCUCUUCUUCAGAGGAAGCCUCCCCAGUCACCUCUCCCGUCUCCAAUGACAUGAGUCCUCCCAAGAGACCUCAGUCCUCCCAGGUGAUGUCCUUUCAC
rnacentral:lncRNA from 1 species